rnacentral:rRNA from 1 species
UGCAGGCUGCAACUCGCCUGCACGAAGUCGGAAUUGCUAGUAAUCGUAGGUCAGCAUACUACGGUGAAUACGUUCCCGGGCCUUGUACACACCGCCCGUCAAACCAUGAGAGUUGGCAACACCCGAAGUCGGUAGUCUAACCGCAAGGAGGACGCCGCCGAAGGUGGGGUUGAUGAUUAGGGUUAAGUCGUAACAAGGUACC